rnacentral:tRNA from 1 species
AAGGGAUUAGUUUAUUUAAAACCACUAAUUUCGACUUAGUAAACUCUGACCACCCCAGAAUCCCUGA